rnacentral:rRNA from 1 species
UACGUAGGUGGCAAGCGUUGUCCGGAAUUAUUGGGCGUAAAGCGCGUGUAGGCGGCUUUGCAAGUCGGGUGUGAAAGCCCUCAGCUCAACUGAGGAAGUGCGCCCGAAACUGCAGAGCUUGAGUGCCGGAGAGGGUGGCGGAAUUCCCCAAGUAGAGGUGAAAUUCGUAGAUAUGGGGAGGAACACCGGUGGAAGGCGGCCACCUGGACGGUAACUGACGCUGAGACGCGAAAGCGUGGGGAGCAAACAGG